rnacentral:rRNA from 1 species
GAUGAACGCUGGCGGCGUGCCUAAUACAUGCAAGUCGAGCGAACAGACGAGGAGCUUGCUCCUCUGACGUUAGCGGCGGACGGGUGAGUAACACGUGGAUAACCUACCUAUAAGACUGGGAUAACUUCGGGAAACCGGAGCUAAUACCGGAUAAUAUAUUGAACCGCAUGGUUCAAUAGUGAAAGACGGUUUUGCUGUCACUUAUAGAUGGAUCCGCGCCGCAUUAGCUAGUUGGUAAGGUAACGGCUUACCAAGGCAACGAUGCGUAGCCGACCUGAGAGGGUGAUCGGCCACACUGGAACGGAGACACGGUCCAGACUCCUACGGGAGGCAGCAGUAGGGAAUCUUCCGAAAUGGGCGAAAGCCUGACGGAGCAACGCCGCGUGAGUGAUGAAGGUCUUCGGAUCGUAAAACUCUGUUAUUAGGGAAGAACAAAUGUGUAAGUAACUAUGCACGUCUUGACGGUACCUAAUCAGAAAGCCACGGCUAACUACGUG